rnacentral:rRNA from 1 species
CCUACGGGAGGCAGCAGUGAGGAAUAUUGGUCAAUGGGCGCGAGCCUGAACCAGCCAAGUCGCGUGAGGGAAGACGGCCCUACGGGUUGUAAACCUCUUUUGCCGGGGAGCAACGGGCGCCACGUGUGGCGCCACUGAGAGUACCCGGAGAAAAAGCAUCGGCUAACUCCGUGCCAGCAGCCGCGGUAAUACGGAGGAUGCGAGGGGUAUCCGGUUUAAUUGGGUUAAAAGGUUGCGUAGGCGGAGCAUUAAGUAAGUGGUAAAAUUGAGGGGCUAAACCCCUUACCGCCAUUGAAACUGGCGCUCUUGAGUGGAAGAGAAGUAUGCGGAAGGCGUGGUGUAGCGGUGAAAUGCAUAGAUAUCACGCAGAACCCCGAUUGCGAAGGCAGCAUGCCGGCUUCCUACUGACGCUGAAGCACGAAAGCGUGGGGAUCGAACAGGAUUAGAUACCCCUGUAGUC